ensembl:snoRNA
UCAGACUCACUCUGCACCCGUCUGCAGCCAUGGACGGGUGCUUCUUCUGUCUGCCAAAGAAACAUUCCAGGGUGCUGUGGCCCCUCUGACCUGUCAGGGGCAAUGCAGCUGCUUUGGGACACAGCA